rnacentral:misc_RNA from 1 species
GAUGAAGAACGUAGCGAAAUGCGACAAGUAAUGUGAAUUGCAGAAUUCCGUGAAUCAUCGAAUCUUUGAACGCACAUUGCGCCCCCUGGUAUUCCGGGGGGCAUGCCUGUCCGAGCGUCAUUACAACCCUCAAGCUCAGCUUGGUAUUGGGCCCCGCCGACCCGGCGGGCCCUAAAGUCAGUGGCGGUGCCGUCCGGCUCCGAGCGUAGUAAUUCUUCUCGCUCUGGAGGUCCGGUCGUGUGCUCGCCAGCAACCCCCAAUUUUUUUCAGGUUGACCUCGGAUCAGGUAGGGAUACCCGCUGAACUUAAGCAUAUCAAUAAGCGGAGGA